GCAUGCCAGCUUAGGUGGCAUGUACCAUCUGGGCAGAAACCAUGGAAGAUAGGUGGUCCUUCAACUAACCUGUCCCUGUCCCAAUGCCCUAUGUGUAGCCUUUGAGUAUACACUAUAGGUUUUGAAAAAAAUUAGGCUUGCUUGCAGUUACUCUUUCUGUUAAGAACCUCUGGCCAGCUGCAAAAUACUCAGCCUUGACCCUGCUAUAUUCAGAAAUGAUAUAUGUAAAUGAUGUUCUCUACUUACAGGCAACUAUAUUGUCAAGAAACCCCAGUCCAUCACUCCAUCUUGGACAACACUGCUGCAAACAAAACCAUUUCAUGAAAAGAAAACCCCAGCACCCAUAAAAAUCACCACUAAGAAACUUGCCACCAAAAAGGUGCAUAUACAACCGCAAGAGACAAAAUACAAGAGUACUACUGUUAUUGUAUAUACAAGUACAACUUCUACCACUACACAGAUCCUUCCUUCAAGAAGAGGACAGAAACCUAUGCUAUCUGCAGCGGGGAAAUGGCAAAAGCCUUCUCUAAUGCAUGGGGUCAAGCAAAGUGGCUUAGGGUCACAAGCCUGCAACAGUGAGACUUGUAACAUGAGAGGAGACUGUACUGUGGAAAACCAUAGAAUAAAGUGCAAUUGCAUGUUGGGAUAUAGUGGUGACUACUGUGAAGAAGAGGAACCAAGGUCUACAGCUGGUUCCAUUGUUUUGAGUAUCAUUGCUGUCUUACUACUGACUCUGGGAGCAGCAGGGAUCUUUAUAUACUUUAGGAAACAAAAAUCACGCCAAAGGACAUCAAGUACAGGGUCAGAUAAAACACUGGCCAUCUACCAGAAGGAUGAUGAAUCAGAAGGAAACAACUUUGUUGAAGAUGAAACCUGUAUCAAUGUAGCUUAUGACCCAGACCAGGAAAUGUCAGCUCCUCUGAAGACAAGGACAGGCACAGAUUUGUAAGAAAAAAUAAACUCUGUUAACUAUAAAUCUCAUGCUGUCUUCUUCAGAUGGAAGAAAGGAUGAUUACAUAGAACUACAUAAUGCGGAUUUCUCAUUAAUGUCAAAUUCAAUGUAUUAACACUCAGCCUGUUUGUUUUCAUUUUAAGUAGCAUUUUUGAAGCCAGCUGAAAGUAGCAAACAUGGAGAAAUCCUGCUGUGGUACUAGCUAAUGGGAUUAUGAUAGUGUGAGUUAGAUUCUGGAUUUACAGUGGUGUGGAGACCCAAUGAAAUGAACUGCAGUCACUUCUAGACGCCAAACAGCAUUCGUGGAUCCAGGAGUUAUGCAAUUGACAGCUAUAUGGUACCAUACCUAUAGUCAUAUACCAGUUUUGCAAAGGAAAGAUGAUAUAUGAUGUGUAAGAAAAACCAAAUGCACAGUAAAAGCUGUGUCUCAAACUACUUCACAAUCCUCCAAGAAUUCAGCCAUUGAGUACUAUGGCUUGCAUCUGAGCCUCACUAAACUUUACUAAUCCCUCUGUCGCAGGCUUUUAUGAAUUCACGAGUUCAGAUGAAAGGCACAGUGCAAAACAUCUCUCGUGGUUUUUCCCCCCCUUCAUUAAAAUACCAAAGAGCAUUUACUUUCAUAGUUUGCAAUUGUAUUUCUUGGCAAGAGUUAUAUUUACACCGAAGUCACUACUUUCCAUUCUCUAUUUGGCUAAUAACUUCUUGUGCUUUGGGGGGACAAAUGCUUUGAAAAAUGACUCUCUCCCUCUACUGAAUAGUAUGCAGCAUAGGUGUUUUCCGCCUGUAUGGGUAUGGAUUUUGUCCUGUUGGCUUUAUUAUGCUGUGUUUCUAACUAAUCUACCUUUCUCUAUUUAGAAAUAAGAAGGCUAAAUAUAGUGGCCAGCAUAUUGUCUCCCUGUGUGUAUGUGUGUGUAAAGCUGACAGCAACACUUUUUGGCUGGUAGAACAUGGUCUUCCUUUCUCAUUUCUGGCUCCCUAGAGCCUUCUGCACGGGGUAGUGUUAUCUCAUGAUGGUCCUCAAUUCUUUGGUGGGUUUUCCAGUUCUUCCACUAAUGAAUGCUUCAUGCUUCUUGCUCCCAGACCCUUCCUUGAAAUAGCAGCUUUUCAUCAGAGGAAUACUGCCCAGGCCAGCUCAGGAUCACCAGGCAGCAUUGCUCUUUACUAAAGCCAAUAACAAUCUUCAACAGCCAAGACCGUUUAGAUCAGUGUUUCUCAACCUUGGCAACUCUAAGAAUUCUGAACGUUGAAGUCCACCAUCUGAAAGUUGCCAAGGUUGAGAAACACUGGUUUAGAUCCAUCGUGGAUUACCAGCCAUCACACCACAUCCCAGUUCUCUUUCCCAAGUGGCUUUCUACUUUCUUUUGCCACCUCAACAGCCACCCUUCUGAUUUUUUAAUGGGAAAAACCUUCCUGUGAGAAAGUCCUUUCUCCUGCUUUCAGGUUCUACUCAUCAGGUAAACUAAACAAAGUGAUAUUUAGGUCCUUCUGUGAAUGUAUGGUAGGCUCUCAUGGAGGCUGUCAUAUCCUCCUUACCCCGCUCCCCCAAAGGUUCACAUUUUCACAAAGCUUAUAAUGUGAGUAGAUAUUGCUUCAUUGCAGAACGGGAUUUUUCUCUCCAGUUUUAUUAUCUGUCUGUAGCAGCAUCAAACUACAUAAUUGAUAGAAACUAUGAAGCAUUGCUGGAGUAGGAGAAAAAGCCAUAUGGAGCACAAAAGCAUGUAGUGGUUUCAAGUCUACUUUGGGUGAGCAUACCAGAAGCAAGCUCUUCACACUGUGUUGAACACAGCAAAGCAGCAGGAAUGUCAUGCUCAGAGAAUGUGUGUUAAGAGCUUUCCUAUGAAAUUGGCUUUGACUGUGAAAGUUCACAACUAUG